rnacentral:tRNA from 1 species
AUCUCCAUAGUUUAUCGGUUAGAAUUCAGGAUUCCAAAUCCUGCGGGCUAGGUUCGACUCCUAGUGGGGAUGCCA